GAUGAACGCUAGCUACAGGCUUAACACAUGCAAGUCGAGGGGAAACGGCAUUGCUUGCUUGCUUUUGCUGGGCGUCGACCGGCGCACGGGUGAGCAACGCGUAUCCUACCUGCCCAUCACUCGGGAAUAACCCUGCGAUAGUACGACUAACGCCCAAUGACAUCCAACGAAGGCAUCUGAAUGGUCGUACUGAUUUAUCGGCGAUGGACGGGGAUGCGUCUGAUUAGCUUGUGGGCGAGGUGACGGCCCACCAAGGCACCGAUCAGUAGGGGUUCUGAGAGGAAGGUCCCCCACAUUGGAACUGAGGCACAGACCAAACUCCUACGGGGGGCAGCAGAGAGGAGUAUUAGUCGAUGGACGAGGACCUAAACCAGCCGAGUAGCGUACAAGAUGACGGCCCUAUGAAUUGUAAACUGCUUGUAUAAGAGACUAAGGUGGGUUACGUGUGACUUUUUGAAGGUACCUGAUGAAUAAGGACCGGCUAAUUCCGUG
rnacentral:rRNA from 1 species